rnacentral:rRNA from 1 species
UACGUAGGGGGCAAGCGUUGUUCGGAAUUACUGGGCGUAAAGGGUGCGUAGGCGGGUCUUUAAGUCAGGGGGGAAAUCCUGGAGCUCAACUCCAGAACUGCCUUUGAUACUGAAGAUCUUGAGUUCGGGAGAGGUGAGUGGAACUGCGAGUGUAGAGGUGAAAUUCGUAGAUAUUCGCAAGAACACCAGUGGCGAAGGCGGCUCACUGGCCCGAUACUGACGCUGAGGCACGAAAGCGUGGGGAGCAAACAGG